rnacentral:sRNA from 1 species
CAUAAAAAGCCUAAUCCAGCCCAGGAGCGGGGGAACCAAAUUAUUAAUUCUAGUGGACUCAAUUUGAAAGUAGAUUGAGAACAUAAAGGUUAUUGGGGUGAAUUUAAACGCGGCGGCUUCGGCAAGACCGUAGAAAAGGGUAUAUCUCAACCCUAACCCGACAGCUAACCUCGUAGGCGAAAAGAGAGAGGA